GGAUGUGAGGCUGAUUUGACUGUUACAUCUGUCACCCCACUGAUUGCCAGGGUUGAUUUGACAGAUCUGGCUUGUUCAACAGGUGUUUCCUUCCUCCCUAACUGCCCCAUGCAUGUCCCUCCUGAAGCUGCAUAUUAAACGGAAGAAGACAACUAUUCCACACAGGACAGAAGUGUACCAUUCUUUAGUCCAGAAUAUACAAUAGCUGAGCUCCCCUGCUAGAAACUCCUAACAAUUUCAAGGAUCUGAUCAGAUACUAAAACAAGGACUUCUUGUUCCUGUAAAAUCAGAAAGUGUUGGAAAGCUCAUCUUU
rnacentral:snRNA from 1 species